AUGCCGCCUCCACACCCCUGUGCCUUCACCGACCACCUGGCUCUCUUCUACAAUCAAUGGGAGUCCAUCACUUCAGAUGCUUGGGUUCUUCGCAUUGUCCAAGAGGGCUACGCCUUAGAAUUUGCAGAGCUCCCACCUACAGGUCACGUUCUUCCUUCAACUCCUUCUCCAGAAAUACUGGCCGAAAUCAAUGCCCUUCUGGCCAAAGGGGCCAUCCGUCUCUCUCCUCCCGAACAGGACCCGCAAAGCUUCUUCUCCAGAUACUUCACGGUCCCGAAGAGGGGGGGCGGACUGCGCCCCAUUCUAGACUUAAGGGCUCUCAAUGUCUUCAUUCGCCCAUCCAAAUUCAGAAUGGUCUCUAUUGCCUCUAUUCUCCCGAUGCUGCAGCGGGGAGACUACUUUGCCUCCAUAGACUUACGAGACGCUUACUUCCACGUAGCGAUAAGGGAGGCUCACAGACGUUUCCUCUGUUUCAAAGUCCUCGACCAAACUUAUCAAUUCACCGUUUUACCCUUCGGCCUAGUCACGGUGCCAAGGGUCUUCACCAAAGUUGUUGCCACCUUAGCGGCCCACCUGAGGCUGCAUGGCAUCACGGUCUUUCCUUAUCUAGACGACUGGCUUCUGGUCGGGCCCGACCCUGUUCUUCUCGAACGCCAAGUCUCCUUCACACUGCACCUCCUGAACUCUCUCCAUCUCCAACUCAAUACCGAGAAGUCACAUCUCACCCCGUCGACAAAAAUUCACUUCAUCGGCGCUCUCUUCGACUCCGUUACGCAGACCGUCUCGCUACCGCUUGACAGAUUCCUAGCUCUCCGCCACCAGAUCACCCUAUGUCGAUCCGCCUGGAGGGUCCGAGCCCGUGCCAUUCAGGUCCUUCUAGGGCACAUGGCCUCCACGGUCCUCACGACCCCCUUCGCCAGACUGCGUCUUCGGGUCCUACAAAGGUGGUUUAUAGACACUUUCAAGCCGCUCUACCACCACAACUCGAAGUAUCUGUCGAUACCGUCAAACGUUCGCCGAUCCCUCUUAUGGUGGACGUCUCACCGAAACGUGUGCAGGGGACUUCCAUUUCACCCGACCCAACCCUCAAUGACUAUAACCACGGACUCCUCCACCUACGCCUGGGGAGCCCACAUGAACGGCCUGACGGUCCAAGAUCUUUGGUCCCCAUCCGAAAGGACCAACCACAUAAACUUUCUCAGACUUCUCGCCAUCCUCAAAGCCCUGAAAGCUUUCUCCCACCUCAUCUGCCACAAGUCCAUCCUCAUCCAAUCGGACAAUCUAGUAGCAGUCUUCUACAUCAACAAACAGGGCGGUAUGGGUUCGAGAAAGCUGAUGCACCUCUCCUCCCGUCUCUGGCUUUGGUGCAUAGCCCACGAGGUCCAAGUCUCUGCGAUUCACCUUCCCGGUGCCCAGAACGACUUGGCAGAUGCCCUCAGCAGAAUGACAUCCUCCUUUCACGAGUGGAAGCUCGAUCCCGAAAUUCUCCACACCCUAUUCCUCGAUUGGGGGCGGCCUACUCUGGACCUCUUUGCCUCUCCCCAGAACGCUCAGCUGUCCCCCCGAACUCCUUUCCAGGCUGCCUGGGAGACGCCUUUCUACUGGACUGGUCAGCAGAAAUGCUUUACCUCUUUCCCCCCAUUCCUCUCAUACCGAAAGUCCUCGAAAGACUCCUCUCGAUCUCGGUCACGGCGAUCCUCAUAG
rnacentral:lncRNA from 1 species